rnacentral:rRNA from 1 species
GGUUAAUAUUCCUGUACUUGGUGUUACUGCGAAGGGGGGACGGAGAAGGCUAUGUUGGCCGGGCGACGGUUGUCCCGGUUUAAGCGUGUAGGCUGGUUUUCCAGGCAAAUCCGGAAAACCAAGGCUGAGGCGUGAUGACGAGGCACUACGGUGCUGAAGCGACAAAUGCCCUGCUUCCAGGAAAAGCCUCUAAGCAUCAGGUAACAUCAAAUCGUACCCCAAACCGACACAGGUGGUCAGGUAGAGAAUACCAAGGCGCUUGAGAGAACUCGGGUGAAGGAACUAGGCAAAAUGGUGCCGUAACUUCGGGAGAAGGCACGCUGAUAUGUAGGUGAAGCGACUUGCUCGUGGAGCUGAAAUCAGUCGAAGAUACCAGCUGGCUGCAACUGUUUAUUAAAAACACAGCACUGUGCAAACACGAAAGUGGACGUAUACGGUGUGACGCCUGCCCGGUGCCGGAAGGUUAAUUGAUGGGGUUAGCGGUAACGCGAAGCUCUUGAUCGAAGCCCCGGUAAACGGCGGCCGUAACUAUAACGGUCCUAAGGUAGCGAAAUUCCUUGUCGGGUAAGUUCCGACCUGCACGAAUGGCGUAAUGAUGGCCAGGCUGUCUCCACCCGAGACUCAGUGAAAUUGAACUCGCUGUGAAGAUGCAGUGUACCCGCGGCAAGACGGAAAGACCCCGUGAACCUUUACUAUAGCUUGACACUGAACAUUGAGCCUUGAUGUGUAGGAUAGGUGGGAGGCUUUGAAGUGUGGACGCCAGUCUGCAUGGAGCCGACCUUGAAAUACCACCCUUUAAUGUUUGAUGUUCUAACGUUGGCCCGUAAUCCGGGUUGCGGACAGUGUCUGGUGGGUAGUUUGACUGGGGCGGUCUCCUCCUAAAGAGUAACGGAGGAGCACGAAGGUUGGCUAAUCCUGGUCGGACAUCAGGAGGUUAGUGCAAUGGCAUAAGCCAGCUUGACUGCGAGCGUGACGGCGCGAGCAGGUGCGAAAGCAGGUCAUAGUGAUCCGGUGGUUCUGAAUGGAAGGGCCAUCGCUCAACGGAUAAAAGGUACUCCGGGGAUAACAGGCUGAUACCGCCCAAGAGUUCAUAUCGACGGCGGUGUUUGGCACCUCGAUGUCGGCUCAUCACAUCCUGGGGCUGAAGUAGGUCCCAAGGGUAUGGCUGUUCGCCAUUUAAAGUGGUACGCGAGCUGGGUUUAGAACGUCGUGAGACAGUUCGGUCCCUAUCUGCCGUGGGCGCUGGAGAACUGAGGGGGGCUGCUCCUAGUACGAGAGGACCGGAGUGGACGCAUCACUGGUGUUCGGGUUGUCAUGCCAAUGGCACUGCCCGGUAGCUAAAUGCGGAAGAGAUAAGUGCUGAAAGCAUCUAAGCACGAAACUUGCCCCGAGAUGAGUUCUCCCUGAGACUUAGAGUCUCCUGAAGGAACGUUGAAGACGACGACGUUGAUAGGCCGGGUGUGUAAGCGCAGCGAUGCGUUGAGCUAACCGGUACUAAUGAACCGUGAGGCUUAACCUU